UACGUAGGUGACAAGCGUUAUCCGGAAUACUGGGCGUAAAGCGCACGCAGGCGGCUGCGUAAGUCUGACGUGAAAAUUUCCCGGGCUUAACCGGGAGCGGUCGUUGGAAACUAUGCGGCUUGAGGCGAUGAGAGGGGUGUGGAAUUCCCGGUGUAGUGGUGGAAUGCGUAGAUAGUCGGGAGGAACAUCAGUGGCGAAAGCGGCACCCUGGCAUUAGCCUGGACGCUCAGGUGCGAAAGCGUGGGGA
rnacentral:rRNA from 1 species